AGAGUUUGAUCCUGGCUCAGAAUCAACGCUGGCGGCGUGCCUAACACAUGCAACGUCGAACGAGAAAGUUCCGCGAGGAGCAACGUACGAGUGGCGCACGGGUGAGUAACACGUGGAUCACCUGCCGUCGAGUGGGGAAUAACCUUCCGAAGAGGGGGGCUAAGUACCGCAUAACACCCGAGGACACACGUCCCUGGGNUUGAAAGGAGAUGAUUCGCUCGAUGAGGGGUCCGCGCCUGAUUUAGCUUGUUGGUAAGGUAAUGGCUUACCAANUGCAACGAUCAGUAGCCGUCCUGAGAGGGAGCAUCGGCGCACACUGGUAACUGAUUACGCGGUCCAUGACUCCUACGGGAGGCAGCAGUGAGGAAUUUUCUCGGCACACUGGGCUGAAAGCCUGACCAAGCAAGCGCCGCUGUGGGUGACUGAACGUAUUUUGGUACGUAAAACCCUUUCGGCAGGGACGAAUUCUUGACGGUACCUGCGGAAGAAGCCCCGGCUACUCCGUGCCAGCAGCCGCGAGUAAUACGGGGGGGGCAAGCGNUNUUCGGAAUUACUGGGCGUAAAGGGCGCGUAGGCGGUUGGAUAAGCUCAGCUGUGAAAACCUCAGGCUCAACUUGAGGCCUGCAGUUUGAAACUGUCCAGCUAGAGUGUGGGAGAGGAGAGUGGAAUUCCCGGUGUAGCGGUGAAAUGCGUAGAUAUCGGGAGGAACACCAGUGGCGAAGGCGGCUCUCUGGACCACUACUGACGCUGAGGCGCGAAAGCUAGGGGAGCAAACAGGAUUAGAUACCCUGGUAGUCCUAGCUGUAAACGAUGGAUACUUGCUGUAGGGGGUAUUGAAUCCCCCUGUGGCGAAGCUAACGCAUUAAGUAUCCCGCCUGGGGAGUACGGUCACAAGGCUGAAACUCAAAGGAAUUGACCGGGGGCCCGCACAAGCGGCGGAGCAUGUUGCUUAAUUCGAGGCAACGCGAAGAACCUUACCUGGGUUUGACAUGUAUGGAAAAGCCAUAGAGAUAUGUGUCCUAC
rnacentral:rRNA from 1 species